rnacentral:rRNA from 1 species
GAAUAUUGGACAAUGGGGGGAACCCUGAUCCAGCCAUGCCGCGUGUGUGAAGAAGGCCUUUUGGUUGUAAAGCACUUUAAGCGAGGAGGAGGCUACUCUAGUUAAUACCUAGAAAUAGUGGCAGUUACCCGCAGAAUAAGCACCGGCUAACUCUGUGCCAGCAGCGGCGGUAAUACAGCGGGUGCAAGCGUUACUCGGAUUUACUGGGCGUAAAGCGCGCGUAGGUGGCCAAUUAAGUCAAAUGUGAAAUCCCCGAGCUUAACUUGGGAAUGGCAUUCGAUACUGGUUGGCUAGAGUAUGGGAGAGGAUGGUGGAAUUCCAGGUGUAGCGGUGAAAUGCGUAGAGAUCUGGAGGAAUACCGAUGGCGAAGGCAGCCAUCUGGCCUAAUACUGACACUGAGGUGCGAAAGCAUGGGGAGCAAACAG